rnacentral:lncRNA from 1 species
CUUUCCCACUGAGCUCCAAGCCCAACACUCAUCUGAUUCUUAACCAUGGACGACAAUGCCUUUCAAUGCUGUAUACAAUUCAAGCUACCAUACAAAGGUACUUCUCAUACCAUAAAGAUGUUUCAGGCGGCAGAUUUCUCCCCUUAAGUUCCUCUGACCUGAUUCUGGCAGGACGAUGGAUUCUGGGUCAUCACUUUUUUGGGAAUGCUCCAUGCUCACCAUGCCAGGUGCGGUCUGCGUCCCAGUCAGCUGGGAGUCACAUGUGGAGCUAUUCUGGGGUCUAGGGACCGUCGAUUCUUGCCAAGUAAAACUAUUUGAGAACAUAGUGCAUUUGGGUAACCACCGAGACUCUCUGCUGGCCUUGCCCUCCAUCAAUCCUGCUGCAGCCUUGCUACUGCUGGUGUCUAGGGUCACCCACACAGGAGGGCAUCAUUCACGAGGAUUUACUGUGCCCUGAGCCUCUGUGUGGGGUAGAAGCUUUGCUUCGAGAGGAGCUUACACAUAAAGGAGAACUGUGCGAUCCCUCUAGGAUGAUGUGAAUGGCUUUCUAGGAAACACACCUGAAGAACCUGCUGGCAGGUAAGCACGAGAGGAGGCAUUUUUGUGCAUGGCGCACCACUGCAGUGUGCCUUUCCACUGUCAACUCCGGAGUGAUCCUGGGAGGCAGAGAGCGGCCAUUACAC